rnacentral:rRNA from 1 species
GAUGAACGCUGGCGGCGUGCUUAACACAUGCAAGUCGAACGGAAAGGCCCUGCUUUUGUGGGGUGCCCGAGUGGCGAACGGGUGAGUAACACGUGAGUAUCCCGCCCUUGACUUUGGGAUAACUUCAGGAAACUGGGGCUAAUACCGGAUAGGAGCUCCUGCUGCAUGGUGGGGGUUGGAAAGUUUCGGCGGUUGGGGAUGGACUCGCGGCUUAUCAGCUUGUUGGUGGGGUAGUGGCUUACCAAGGCUUUGACGGGUAGCCGGCCUGAGAGGGUGACCGGCCACAUGGGUACUGAGAGACGGCCCAGACUCCUACGGGAGGCAGCGGUGGGGAAUAUUGCACAAUGGGCGGGAGCCUGAUGCAGCAGCGCCGCGUGCGGGAUGACGGCCUUCGGGUUGUAAACCGCUUUCGCCUGUGACGAAGCGUGAGUGACGGUAAUGGGUAAAGAAGCACCGGCUAACUACGUG